rnacentral:rRNA from 1 species
ACGAACGCUGGCGGCGUGCCUAAUACAUGCAAGUAGAACGCUGAAGAGAGGAGCUUGCUCUUCUUGGAUGAGUUGCGAACGGGUGAGUAACGCGUAGGUAACCUGCCUUGUAGCGGGGGAUAACUAUUGGAAACGAUAGCUAAUACCGCAUAACAAUGGAUGACCCAUGUCAUUUAUUUGAAAGGGGCAAAUGCUCCACUACAAGAUGGACCUGCGUUGUAUUAGCUAGUAGGUGAGGUAACGGCUCACCUAGGCGACGAUACAUAGCCGACCUGAGAGGGUGAUCGGCCACACUGGGACUGAGACACGGCCCAGACUCCUACGGGAGGCAGCAGUAGGGAAUCUUCGGCAAUGGGGGCAACCCUGACCGAGCAACGCCGCGUGAGUGAAGAAGGUUUUCGGAUCGUAAAGCUCUGUUGUAAGUCAAGAACGAGUGUGAGAGUGGAAAGUUCACACUGUGACGGUAGCUUACCAGAAAGGGACGGCUAACUACGUGCCAGCAGCCGCGGUAAUACUUAGGUCCCGAGCGUUGUCCGGAUUUAUUGGGCCUAAAGCGAGCGCAGGCGGUUUGAUAAGUCUGAAGUUAAAGGCUGUGGCUCAACCAUAGUUCGCUUUGGAAACUGUCAAACUUGAGUGCAGAAGGGGAGAGUGGAAUUCCAUGUGUAGCGGUGAAAUGCGUAGAUAUAUGGAGGAACACCGGUGGCGAAAGCGGCUCUCUGGUCUGUAACUGACGCUGAGGCUCGAAAGCGUGGGGAGCGAACAGGAUUAGAUACCCUGGUAGUCCACACAGUAAACGAUGAAUACUCGCUGUUUGCGAUAUACAGUAAGCGGCCAAGCGAAAGCGUUAAGUAUUCCACCUGGGGAGUACGCCGGCAACGGUGAAACUCAAAGGAAUUGACGGGGGCCCGCACAAGCAGUGGAGUAUGUGGUUUAAUUCGAAGCAACGCGAAGAACCUUACCAGGUCUUGACAUCCCGAUGCUAUUUCUAGAGAUAGAAAGUUACUUCGGUACAUCGGUGACAGGUGGUGCAUGGUUGUCGUCAGCUCGUGUCGUGAGAUGUUGGGUUAAGUCCCGCAACGAGCGCAACCCCUAUUGUUAGUUGCCAUCAUUCAGUUGGGCACUCUAGCGAGACUGCCGGUAAUAAACCGGAGGAAGGUGGGGAUGACGUCAAAUCAUCAUGCCCCUUAUGACCUGGGCUACACACGUGCUACAAUGGUUGGUACAACGAGUUGCGAGUCGGUGACGGCAAGCUAAUCUCUUAAAGCCAAUCUCAGUUCGGAUUGUAGGCUGCAACUCGCCUACAUGAAGUCGGAAUCGCUAGUAAUCGCGGAUCAGCACGCCGCGGUGAAUACGUUCCCGGGCCUUGUACACACCGCCCGUCACACCACGAGAGUUUGUAACACCCGAAGUCGGUGAGGUAACCUUUUGGAGCCAGCCGCCUAAGGUGGGAUAGAUGAUUGGGGUG